rnacentral:lncRNA from 1 species
AUAACAAGAAAUUUUGUUGAUAGAUGAGUAUUCUUUGAGGAUUUUUGAUCAAUAAGUUGUAUUUUUAAGAUAAAAUUCUCAAAAAAUCUAUUUUAGGAAAGUUUUAUUUUUAAUUGGAAAUAUUGUAGAUUUGGGGUUCAGAUUAAAAAUAUUAGAACAACAAGAAUUUUUGUUGAUAGGUGAGCAUUCUUUUAAAAGUUUUGAUCAAUAGGUUGUAUAUUUUAUAUAAAAUUCUCAAAAAUUCUAUUUUUGGAAAGUUUUCAUUUUUGUGAAUAAUAGUGUGGAUUUGUGGUUUUGAUUUAGAAAUUAGGAUAGCAAGAAUUGUUUGUUGAUAGAUGGAGUAUUCUUUUACAUUUUUUGAUGAAUAGUUGUAUUUUUUAAAAUAUAAUUCUCAAAAGUUAUAUUUUAGAAAAAAAAAAUUUUUGGUGAAUAAUAGUGUGGAUUUGGGGUUUUGAUAUAGAAAUUAGGAUAACAAGAAUUGUUUGUUUACAGAUGGAGUAUUCUUUUAGAUUUUUUGAUCAAUAGUUGUAUUUUUUAAAUAUAAUUAUCAAAAGUUCUAUUUUAGGAAAGUUUUCAUUGUAUAUAGAAAUAUUGUAGAUUUGGGGUUGUGGUUUAGAAAUUAGGAUAAAAAUAUAUUUUUUUGAUGUAUGAGUAUUUUUUUAGAUUUUUUGGAUCAAUAGGUUGUUUAUCUUAGAUAAAAUUCUCAAAACUUCUAUUUUUAGAAAGUUUUCAUUUUUAUUGAGAAAUAUUGUAGAUUUAAGGUUGUGAUUUAGAAUUUAGGAUAACAAGAAAUUUUGUUGAUAGAUGAGUAUUCUUUGAGGUUUUUUGAUCAAUAGGUUGUAUAUUUUAGAUGAAAUUUUCAAAACUUCUAUUUUUUGAAAGUUUUCAUUUUUAUUGAGAAUAUUAGAAGAAAUUUUGUUGAUAGAUGAGUAUUCCUUGUGGACUUUUGAUCAAUAAGUUGUAUUUUUAAGAUAAAAUUCUCAAAAGUGUAUUUAGGAAAGUUUUAUUUUUAUUGGGAAAUAUUGUAGAUUUGGGGUUCAGAUUAAAAAUAUUAGAAAACAGAAUUUUUGUUGAUAGGUGAGCAUUCUUUUAAAAGUUUUGAUCAUAGGUUGUAUAUUUUAUAUAAAUUCACAAAAUUCUAUUUUUGGAAAGUUUCAUUUUUGUGAAUAAUAGUGUGGAUUUGAGGUUUUGAUUUAGAAAUUACGAUAACAAAAAUUAUUUGUUGAUAGAUGGAGUAUUCUUUUACAUUUUUGAUGAAUAGUUAUAUUUUUUAAAUAUAAUUAUCAAAAGUUCUAUUUUAGGAAAGUUUUCAUUUAGGUGAAUAAUAGUGUGUAUUUGGGGUUUUGAUUUAGAAAUUAGGAUAACAAGAAUUGUUUGUUUAAUGAUGGAGUAUUAUUUUAGAUUUUUUGACGAAUAAUUGUAAUUUUUAAAUAUAAUUAUCAAAAGUUCUAUUUUAGGAAAGUUUUCAUUGUCUAUAGAAAUAUUGUAGAUUUGGAGUUGUGAUUUAGAAAUUAGGAUAACAAUAUUUUUUGUUGAUAUAUGAGUAUUUGUUUAGAUUUUUUGAUCAAUAGGUUAUAUUUUAGAUAAAAUUCUCAAAACUUCUAUUUUUAGAAAGUUUUCAUUUUUAUUGAGAAAUAUUGUAGAGUUAGGGUUGUGAUUUAGAAUUUAGGAUAACAAGAAAUUUUGUUGAGAGAUGAGUAUUCUUUGAGGAUUUUUGAUCAAUAAGUUGUAUUUUUAAGAUAAAAUUCUCAAAAAUCUAUUUUAGGAACGUUUUAUUUUUAUUUGGAAAUAUUGUAGAUUUGGGGUUCAGAUUAAAAAUAUUAGAACAACAAGAAUUUUUGUUGAUAGGUGAGCAUUUUUUAAAAAGUUUUGAUCACUAGGUUGUAUAUUUUAUAUAAAAUUCUCAAAAAUUCUAUUUUUGGAAAGUUUCAUUUUUGUGAAUAAUAGUGUGGAUUUGGGGUUUUGAUUUAGAAAUUAGGAUAAAAGAAUUGUUUGUUGAUAGAUGGAGUAUUCUUUUACAUUUUUUGAUGAAUAGUUGUAUUUUUAAAAUAUAAUUCUCAAAAGUUCUAUUUUAGGAAAGUUUUCAUUUUGAUGAAUAAUAGUGUGGAUUUGGGGUUUUGAUUUAGAAAUUAGGAUAACAAGAAUUGUUUGUUGAAAGAUGGAGUAUUCUUUUAGAUUUUUUGAUCAAUAGUUGUAUUUUUUAAAUAUAAUUCUCAAAAGUUCUAUUUUAGAAAAGUUUUCAUUGUCUAUAGAAAUAUUGUAGAUUUGGGGUUGUGAUUUAGAAAUUAGGAUAACAAUAUUUUUUGUUGAUAUAUGAGUAUUUUUUUUAGAUUUGAUCAAUAGGUUGUUUUUUAGAUAAAAUUCUCAAACUUCUAUUUUUAGAAAGUUUUCAUUUUUAUUGAGAAAUAUUGUAGAUUUAGGGUUGUAAUUUAGAAUUUAGGAUAACAAGAAAUUUUGUUGAUAGAUGAGUAUUCUUUGAGGAUUUUUGAUCAAUAAGUUGUAUUUUUAAGAUAAAAUUCUCAAAAAAUCUAUUUUAGGAAAGUUUUAUUUUUAUUUGGAAAUAUUGUAGAUUUGGGGUUCAGAUUAAAAAUAUUAGAACAACAAGAAUUUUUGUUGAUAGGUGAGCAUUUUUUUAAAGUUUUGAUCACUAGGUUGUAUAUUUUAUAUAAUUCUCAAAAUUCUAUUUUUGGAAAGUUUCAUUUUUGUGAAUAUAGUGUGGAUUUGGGGUUUUGAUUUAGAAAUUAGGAUAACAAGAAUUGUUUGUUGAUAGAUGGAGUAUUCUUUUACAUUUUUUGAUGAAUAGUUGUAUUUUUAAAAUAUAAUUCUCAAAAGUUCUAUUUUAGGAAAGUUUCCAUUUUUGUUGAAUAAUAGUGUGGAUUUGGGGUUUUGAUUUAGAAAUUAGGAUAACAAGAAUUGUUUGUUGAUAGAUGGAGUAUUCUUUUAGAUUUUUUGAUCAAUAGUUGUAUUUUUAAAUAUAAUUAUCAAAAUUCUAUUUUAGGAAAGUUUUCAUUGUCUAUAGAAAUAUUGUAGAUUUGGGGUUGUGAUUUAGAAAUUAGGAUAACAAUAUUUUUUGUUGAUGUAUGAGUAUUUGUUUAGAUUUUUGGAUCAAUAGGUUGUUUUAGAUAAAUUCUCAAAACUUCUAUUUUUAGAAAGUUUUCAUUUUAUUGAGAAAUAUUGUAGAGUUAGGGUUGUGAUUUAGAAUUUAGGAUAACAAGAAAUUUUGUUGAUAGAUGAGUAUUCUUUGAGGAUUUUUGAUCAAUAAGUUGUAUUUUUAAGAUAAAUUCUCAAAAAAUCUAUUUUAGGAAAGAAAGUUUAUUUUUAAUUGGAAAUUGUAGAUUUGGGGUUCAGAUUAAAAAUAUUAGAACAACAAGAAUUUUGUUGAUAGGUGAGUAUUUUUUUAAAAGUUUUGAUCAAUAGGUUGUAUAUUUAUAUAAAAAUUCUCAAAAUUCUAUUUUGGAAAGUUUUCAUUUUUGUGAAUAAUAGUGUGGAUUUGGGGUUUUGAUUUAGAAAUUAGGAUAACAAGAAUUGUUUGUUGAUAGAUGGAGUAUUCUUUUACAAUUUUUGAUGAAUAGUUGUAUUUUUUAAAUAUAAUCUCAAAAGUUAUAUUUUAGAAAAAAAAUUUUGGUGAAUAAUAGUGUGGAUUUGGGGUUUUGAUAUAGAAAUUAGGAUAACAAGAAUUGUUUGUUUACAGAUGGAGUAUUCUUUUAGAUUUUUUGAUCAAUAGUUGUAUUUUUUAAAUAUAAUUAUCAAAAGUUCUAUUUUAGGAAAGUUUUCAUUGUAUAUAGAAAUAUUGUAGAUUUGGGGUUGUUGUUUAGAAAUUAGGAAAAUAUAUUUUUUGAUGUAUGAGUAUUUUUUUAGAUUUUGAUCAAUAGGUUGUAUAUUUAGAUAAAAUUCUCAAAACUUCUAUUUUUAGAAAGUUUUCAUUUUAUUGAGAAAUAUUGUAGAUUUAAGGUUGUGAUUUAGAAUUUAGGAUAACAAGAAAUUUUGUUGAUAGAUGAGUAUUCUUUGAGGUUUUUUGAUCAAUAGGUUGUAUAUUUUAGAUGAAAUUUUCAAAACUUCUAUUUUUUGAAAGUUUUCAUUUUUAUUGAGAAAUAUUGUAGAGUUAGAGUUGUGAUUUAGAAUUUAGGAUAACAAGAAAUUUUGUUGAUAGAUGAGUAUUCCUUGUGGACUUUUGAUCAAUAAGUUGUAUUUUUAAGAUAAAAUUCUCAAAAGUGUUAUUUAGGAAAGUUUUAUUUUUAUUGGGAAAUAUUGUAGAUUUGGGGUUCAGAUUAAAAAUAUUAGAACAACAAGAAUUUUUGUUGAUAGGUGAGCAUUCUUUUAAAAGUUUUGAUCAAUAGGUUGUAUAUUUUAUAUAAAAUUCACAAAAAUUCUAUUUUUGGAAAGUUUCAUUUUUGUGAAUAAUAGUGUGGAUUUGAGGUUUUGAUUUAGAAAUUACGAUAACAAAAAUUAUUUGUUGAUAGAUGGAGUAUUCUUUUACAUUUUUGAUGAAUAGUUAUAUUUUUUAAAUAUAAUUAUCAAAAGUUCUAUUUUAGGAAAGUUUUCAUUUAGGUGAAUAAUAGUGUUUUGGGGUUUGAUUUAGAAAUUAGGAUAACAAGAAUUGUUUGUUAAUGAUGGAGUAUUAUUUUAGAUUUUUUGACGAAUAAUUGUAAUUUUUAAAUAUAAUUAUCAAAAGUUCUAUUUUAGGAAAGUUUUCAUUGUCUAUAGAAAUAUUGUAGAUUUGGAGUUGUGAUUUAGAAAUUAGGAUAACAAUAUUUUUUGUUGAUUAUGAGUAUUUGUUUUAGAUUUUUUGAUCAAUAGGUUAUAUUUUAGAUAAAAUUCUCAAAACUUCUAUUUUAGAAAGUUUCAUUUUUAUUGAGAAAUAUUGUAGAGUUAGGGUUGUGAUUUAGAAUUUAGGAUAACAAGAAAUUUUGUGAGAGAUGAGUAUUCUUUGAGGAUUUUGAUCAAUAAGUUGUAUUUUAAGAUAAAAUUCUCAAAAAUUCUUUUUAGGAACGUUUUAUUUUUAUUUGGAAAUAUUGUAGAUUUGGGGUUCAGAUUAAAAAUAUUAGAACAACAAGAAUUUUUGUUGAUAGGUGAGCAUUUUUAAAAAGUUUUGAUCACUAGGUGUAUAUUUUAUAUAUAAAAUUCUCAAAAUUCUAUUUUUGAAAGUUUCAUUUUGUGAAUAAUAGUGUGGAUUUGGGGUUUUGAUUUAGAAAUUAGGAUAAAGAAUUGUUUGUUGAUAGAUGGAGUAUUCUUUUACAUUUUUUGAUGAAUAGUUGUAUUUUUAAAUAUAAUUCUCAAAAGUUCUAUUUUAGGAAAGUUUCAUUUUGAUGAAUAAUAGUGUGGAUUUGGGGUUUUGAUUUAGAAAUUAGGAUAACAAGAAUUGUUUGUUGAAAGAUGGAGUAUUCUUUUAGAUUUUUUGAUCAAUAGUUGUAUUUUUUAAAUAUAAUUCUCAAAAGUUCUAUUUUAGAAAGUUUUCAUUGUCUAUAGAAAUAUUGUAGAUUUGGGGUUGUGAUUUAGAAAUUAGGAUAACAAUAUUUUGUUGAUAUAUGAGUAUUUUUGUUAGAUUUUUUGAUCAAUAGGUUGUAUAUUUUAGAUAAAAUUCUCAAAACUUCUAUUUUUAGAAAGUUUUCAUUUUUAUUGAGAAAUAUUGUAGUUUAGGGUUGUGAUUGUAAUUUAAUUUAGGAUAACAAGAAAUUUUGUUGAUAGAUGAGUAUUCUUUGAGGAUUUUUGAUCAAUAAGUUGUAUUUUUAAGAUAAAAUUCUCAAAAAAUCUAUUUUAGGAAAGUUUUUUUUUAUUUGGAAAUAUUGUAGAUUUGGGGUUCAGAUUAAAAAUAUUAGAACAACAAGAAAUUUUUGUUAGGUGAGCAUUUUUUAAAAGUUUUGAUCACUAGGUGUAUAUUUUAUAUAAAAUUCUCAAAAAUUCUAUUUUGGAAAUUUCAUUUUGUGAAUAAUAGUGUGGAUUUGGGGUUUUGAUUUAGAAAUUAGGAUAACAAGAAUUGUUUGUUGAUAGAUGGAGUAUUCUUUUACAUUUUUUGAUGAAUAGUUGUAUUUUAAAAUAUAAUUCUCAAAAGUUCUAUUUUAGGAAAGUUUCCAUUUUGUUGAAUAAUAGUGUGGAUUUGGGGUUUUGAUUUAGAAAUUAGGAUAACAAGAAUUGUUUGUUGAUAGAUGGAGUAUUCUUUUAGAUUUUUGAUCAAUAGUUGUAUUUUUUAAAUAUAAUUAUCAAAAGUUCUAUUUUAGGAAAGUUUUCAUUGUCUAUAGAAUAUUGUAGAUUUGGGGUUGUGAUUUAGAAAUUAGGAUAACAAUAUUUUUUGUUGAUAUAUGAGUAUUGUUUAGAUUUUUGGAUCAAUAGGUUGUUUAUCUUAGAUAAAAUUCUCAAAACUUCUAUUUUAGAAAGUUUUCAUUUUUAUUGAGAAUAUUGUAGAGUUAGGGUUGUGAUUUAGAAUUUAGGAUAACAAGAAAUUUGUUGAUAGAUGAGUAUUCUUUGAGGAUUUUUGAUCAAUAAGUUGUAUUUUUAAGAUAAAAUUCUCAAAAAUCUAUUUUAGGAAAGUUUUAUUUUUAAUUGGAAAUAUUGUAGAUUUGGGGUUCAGAUUAAAAAUAUAGAACAACAAGAAUUUUGUUUGAUAGGUGAGUAUUUUUUUAAAAGUUUUGAUCAAUAGGUUGUAUUUUUAUAUAAAAUUCUCAAAAAUUCUAUUUUUGGAAAGUUUCAUUUUUGUGAAUAAUAGUGUGGAUUUGGGGUUUUGAUUUAGAAAUUAGGAUAACAAGAAUUGUUUGUUGAUAGAUGGAGUAUUCUUUACAUUUUUUGAUGAAUAGUUGUAUUUUUUAAAUAUAAUUCUCAAAAGUUAUAUUUAGAAAAAAAAAAUUUUGGUGAAUAAUAGUGUGGAUUUGGGGUUUUGAUUAUAGAAAUUAGGAUAACAAGAAUUGUUUGUUACAGAUGGAGUAUUCUUUUAGAUUUUUUGAUCAAUAGUUGUAUUUUUUAAAUAUAAUUAUCAAAGUUCUAUUUUAGGAAAGUUUUCAUUGUAUAUAGAAAUAUUGUAGAUUUGGGGUUGUGGUUUAGAAAUUAGGAUAAAAAUAUAUUUUUUGAUGUAUGAGUAUUUUUUUAGAUUUUUUUAUCAAUAGGUGUAUAUUUAGAUAAAAUCUCAAAACUUCUAUUUUAGAAAGUUUUCAUUUUUAUGAGAAAUAUUGUAGAUUUAAGGUUGUGAUUUAGAAUUUAGGAUAACAAGAAAUUUUGUUGAUAGAUGAGUAUUCUUUAGGUUUUUGAUCAAUAGGUUGUAUAUUUUAGAUGAAAUUUUCAAAACUUCUAUUUUUGAAAGUUUUCAUUUUUAUUGAAAAUAUUGUAGAGUUAGAGUUUGAUUUAGAAUUAGGAUAACAAGAAAUUUUGUUGAUAGAUGAGUAUUCUUGUGGACUUUUGAUCAAUAAGUUUGUAUUUUAAGAUAAAAUUCUCAAAAGUGUUAUUUAGGAAAGUUUUAUUUUUAUGGGAAAUAUUGUAGAUUUGGGGUUCAGAUUAAAAAUAUUAGAACAACAAGAAUUUUUGUUGAUAGGUGAGCAUUCUUUUAAAAAGUUGAUCAAUAGGUUGUAUAUUUUAUAUAAAAUUCACAAAAUUCUAUUUUUGGAAAGUUUCAUUUUUGUGAAUAAUAGUGUGGAUUUUGGGUUUUGAUUUAGAAAUUACGAUAACAAAAUUGUUUGUUGAUAGAUGGAGUAUUCUUUUACAUUUUUUGAUGAAUAGUUGUAUUUUUUAAAUAUAAUUAUCAAAAGUUCUAUUUUAGGAAAGUUUUCAUUUAGGUGAAUAAUAGUGUGUAUUUGGGGUUUGAUUUAGAAAUUAGGAUAACAAGAAUUGUUUUUUGUUAAUGAUGGAGUAUUAUUUUAGAUUUUUGACAAUAAUGUAUUUUUAAAUAUAAUUAUCAAAAGUUAUAUUUUAGGAAAGUUUUCAUUGUCUAUAGAAAUAUUGUAGAUUUGGAGUUGUGAUUUAGAAAUUAGGAUAACAAUAUUUUUUGUUGAUAUAUGAGUAUUUGUUUAGAUUUUUUGAUCAAUAGGUUAUAUUUUAGAUAAAUUCUCAAAACUUCUAUUUUUAAAAAGUUUCAUUUUUAUUGAGAAAUAUUGUAGAGUUAGGGUUGUGAUUUAGAAUUUAGGAUAACAAGAAAUUUUGUUGAGAGAUGAGUAUUCUUUGAGGAUUUUUGAUCAAUAAGUUGUAUUUUUAAGAUAAAAUUCUCAAAAAUCUAUUUUAGGAAAGUUUUAUUUUUAUUUGGAAAUAUUGUAGAUUUGGGGUUCAGAUUAAAAAUAUUAGAACAACAAGAAUUUUUGUUGAUAGGUGCCAUUUUUAAAAAGUUUUGAUCACUAGUUGUAUUUAUAUAUAAAAUUUUCAAAAAUUCUAUUUUUGGAAAGUUUCAUUUUUGUGAAUAAUAGUGUGGAUUUGGGGUUUUGAUUUAGAAAUUAGGAUAAAAGAAUUGUUGAUAGAUAGAGGAGUAUUCUUUUACAUUUUUUGAUGAAUAGUUGUAUUUUUAAAAUAUAAUUCUCAAAAGUUCUAUUUUAGGAAAGUUUCCAUUUUGAUGAAUAAUAGUGUGGAUUUGGGGUUUUGAUUUAGAAAUUAGGAUAACAAGAAUUGUUUGUUGAAAGAUGGAGUAUUCUUUUAGAUUUUUGAUCAAUAGUUGUAUUUUAAAUAUAAUUCUCAAAAGUUCUAUUUUAGGAAAGUUUUCAUUGUCUAUAGAAAUAUUGUAGAUUUGGGGUUGUGAUUUAGAAAUUAGGAUAACAAUAUUUUUGUUGAUGUAUAUGAGUAUUUUUUUAGAUUUUUGAUCAAUAGGUUGUUAUUUUAGAUAAAAUUCUCAAAACUUCUAUUUUUAGAAAGUUUUCAUUUUUAUUGAGAAAUAUUGUAGAUUAGGGUUGUGAUUUAGAAUUUAGGAUAACAAGAAAUUUUGUUGAUAGAUGAGUAUUCUUUGAGGAUUUUUGAUCAAUAAGUUGUAUUUUUAAGAUAAAAUUCUCAAAAAAUCUAUUUUAGGAAAGUUUUAUUUUAUUUGGAAAUAUUGUAGAUUUGGGGUUCAGAUAAAAAUAUUAGAACAACAAGAAUUUUUGUUGAUAGGUGAGCAUUUUUUAAAAGUUUUGAUCAAUAGGUUGUAUAUUUAUAUAAAAUUCUCAAAAAUUCUAUUUUUGGAAAGUUUCAUUUUUGUGAAUAAUAGUGUGGAUUUGGGUUUUGAUUUAGAAAUUACGAUAACAAGAAUUGUUUGUUGAUAGAUGGAGUAUUCUUUUACAUUUUUUGAUGAAUAGUUGUAUUUUAAAAUAUAAUUCUCAAAAGUUCUAUUUUAGGAAAGUUUCAUUUUGAUGAAUAAUUGUGGAUUUGGGGUUUUGAUUAGAAAUUAGGAUAACAAGAAUUGUUUGUUGAAAGAUGGAGUAUUCUUUUAGAUUUUUUGAUCAAUAGUUGUAUUUUUUAAAUAUAAUUAUCAAAAGUUCUAUUUUAGGAAAGUUUUCAUUGUCUAUAGAAAUAUUGUAGAUUUGGAGUUGUGAUUUAGAAAUUAGGAUAACAAUAUUUUUUGUUGAUGUAUGAGUAUUUGUUUAGAUUUUUUGAUCAAUAGGUUAUAUUUUAGAUAAAAUUCUCAAAACUUCUAUUUUUAGAAAGUUUUCAUUUUUAUUGAGAAUAUUGUAGAGUUAGGUUUGUGAUUUAGAAUUUAGGAUAACAAGAAUUUUGUUGAUAGAUGAGUAUUCUUUGAGGAUUUUUGAUCAAUAAGUUGUAUUUUUAAGAUAAAAUUCUCAAAAAUCUAUUUUAGGAAAGUUUUAUUUUUAUUUGGAAAUAUUGUAGAUUUGGGGUUCAGAUUAAAAUAUUAGAACAACAAGAAUUUUUGUUGAUAGGUGAGCAUUUUUUAAAAGUUUUGAUCAAUAGGUUGUAUAUUUAUAUAAAAUUCUCAAAAAUUCUAUUUUGGAAAGUUUCAUUUUGUGAAUAAUAGUGUGGAUUUGGGGUUUUGAUUUAGAAAUUAGGAUAACAAGAAUUGUUUGUUGAUAGAUGGAGUAUUCUUUUACAUUUUUUGAUGAAUAGUUGUAUUUUUAAAAUAUAAUUCUCAAAGUUCUAUUUUAGGAAAGUUUCCAUUUGUUGAAUAAUAGUGUGGAUUUGGGGUUUUGAUUAGAAUUAGGGAUAACAAGAAUUGUUUGUUGAUAGAUGGAGUAUUCUUUUAGAUUUUUGAUCAAUAGUUGUAUUUUUAAAUAUUAUUAUCAAAAGUUCUAUUUUAGGAAAGUUUUUCAUUGUCUAUAGAAAUAUUGUAGAUUUGGGGUGUGAUUUAGAAAUUAGGAUAACAAUAUUUUUUGUUGAUGUAUGAGUAUUUUUUUAGAUUUUUGAUCAAUAGGUUGUUUAUUUUAGAUAAAAUUCUCAAAACUUCUAUUUUUAGAAAGUUUUCAUUUUUAUUGAGAAAUAUUGUAGACUUAGGUUUGUGAUUUAGAAUUUAGGAUAACAAGAAAUUUUGUUGAUAGAUGAGUAUUCUUUGAGGAUUUUUGAUCAAUAAGUUUUAUUUUAAGAUAAAAUUCUCAAAAAAUCUAUUUAGGAAAGUUUUAUUUUUAUUGGAAAUAUUGUAGAUUUGGGGUUCAGAUUAAAAAUAUUAGAACAACAAGAAUUUUUGUUGAUAGGUGAGCAUUCUUUUAAAAGUUUUGAUCAAUAGUUGUAUAUUUUAUAUAAAAUUCUCAAAAAUUCUAUUUUUGGAAAGUUUUCAUUUUGUGAAUAAUAGUGUGGAUUUGGGUUUUGAUUUAGAAAUUAGGAUAACAAGAAUUGUUUGUUGAUAGAUGGAGUAUUCUUUUACAUUUUUUUAUGAAUAGUUGUAUUUUUUAAAUAUAAUUCUCAAAAGUUAUAUUCUCAAAAGUUCUAUUUAGAAAAUUUCUUUUUGGUGAAUAAUAGUGUGGAUUUGGGGUUUUGAUUUAGAAAUUAGGAUAACAAGAAUUGUUUGUUUACAGAUGGAGUAUUCUUUUAGAUUUUUUGAUCAAUAGUUGUAUUUUUUAAAUAUAAUUAUCAAAAGUUCUAUUUUAGGAAAGUUUUCAUUGUAUAUAGAAAUAUUGUAGAUUUGGGGUUGUGGUUUAGAAAUUAGGAUAAAAAUAUAUUUUUUUGAUGUAUGAGUAUUUUUUUAGAUUUUUUUUAUCAAUAGGUUGUAUAUUUUAGAUAAAAUUCUCAAAACUUCUAUUUUUAGAAAGUUUUCAUUUUUAUUGAGAAAUAUUGUAGAUUUGGGUUGUGAUUUAGAAUUAGGAUAACAAGAAUUUUGUUGAUAGAUGAGUAUUUUUGAGGUUUUUGAUCAAUAGUUGUAUAUUUUAGAUAAAAUUCUCAAAACUUCUAUUUUUUGAAAGUUUUCAUUUUUAUUGAGAAAUAUUGUAGAGUUAGGGUUGUGAUUUAGAAUUUAGGAUAACAAGAAAUUUUGUUGAUAGAUGAGUAUUCUUUGAGGAUUUUGAUCAAUAAGUUGUAUUUUUAAGAUAAAAUUCUCAAAAAUCUAUUUUAGGAAAGUUUUAUUUUUAUUGGGAAAUAUUGUAGAUUUGGGGUUCAGAUUAAAAAUAUUAGAACAACAAGAAUUUUUGUUGAUAGGUGAGCAUUCUUUAAAAGUUUUGAUCAAUAGGUUGUAUAUUUUAUAUAAAAUUCUCAAAAAUUCUAUUUUGGAAAGUUUCAUUUUUGUGAAUAAUAGUGUGGAUUUGGGGUUUUGAUUUAGAAAUUAGGAUAACAAGAAUUGUUUGUUGAUAGAUGGAGUAUUCUUUUACAUUUUUUGAUGAAUAGUUGUAUUUUUAAAAUAUAAUUCUCAAAAUUCUAUUUUAGGAAAGUUUCCAUUUUGAUGAAUAAUAGUGUGGAUUUGGGGUUUUGAUUUAGAAAUUAGGAUAACAAGAAUUGUUUGUUGAAAGAUGGAGUAUUCUUUUAGAUUUUUUGAUCAAUAGUUGUAUUUUUUAAAUAUAAUUCUCAAAAGUUCUAUUUUAGGAAAGUUUUCAUUGUCUAUAGAAAUAUUGUAGAUUUGGAGUUGUGAUUUAGAAAUUAGGAUAACAAUAUUUUUUGUUGAUGUAUGAGUAUUUGUUUAGAUUUUUGAUCAAUAGGUUAUAUUUUAGAUAAAAUUCUCAAAACUUCUAUUUUAAAAAGUUUUCAUUUUUAUUGAGAAAUAUUGUAGAGUUAGGGUUGUGAUUUAGAAUUUAGGAUAACAAGAAAUUUUGUUGAUAGAUGAGUAUUCUUUGAGGAUUUUUGAUCAAUAAGUUGUAUUUUUAAGAUAAAAUUCUCAAAAAAUCUAUUUUAGGAAAGUUUUAUUUUUAUUUGGAAAUAUUGUAGAUUUGGGGUUCAGAUUAAAAAUAUUAGAACAACAAGAAUUUUUGUGGAUAGGUGAGCAUUUUUAUAAAAGUUUGAUUAAUAGGUUGUAUAUUUUAUAUAAAAUUCUCAAAAAUUCUAUUUCUGGAAAGUUUCAUUUUUGUGAAUAAUAGUGUGGAUUUGGGGUUUUGAUUUAGAAAUUAGGAUAACAAGAAUUGUUUGUUGAUAGAUGGAGUAUUCUUUUACAUUUUUUGAUGAAUAGUUGUAUUUUUAAAAUAUAAUUCUCAAAAGUUCUAUUUUAGGAAAGUUUCCAUUUUGUUGAAUAAUAGUGUGGAUUUGGGGUUUUGAUUUAGAAAUUAGGAUAACAAGAAUUGUUUGUUGAUAGAUGGAGUAUUCUUUUAGAUUUUUUGAUCAAUAGUUGUAUUUUUUAAAUAUAAUUAUCAAAAUUCUAUUUUAGGAAAGUUUUCAUUGUCUAUAGAAAUAUUGUAGAUUUGGGGUUGUGAUUUAGAAAUUAGGAUAACAAUAUUUUUGUUGAUAUAUGAGUAUUUUUUAGAUUUUUUGAUCAAUAGGUUGUUUUUUUAGAUAAAAUUCUCAAAACUUCUAUUUUUAGAAAGUUUUCAUUUUUAUUGAGAAAUAUUGUAGAUUUAGGGUUGUGAUUUAGAAUUUAGGAUAACAAGAAAUUUUGUUGAUAGAUGAGUAUUCUUUGAGGAUUUUUGAUCAAUAAGUUGUAUUUUUAAGAUAAAAUUCUCAAAAAAUCUAUUUUAGGAAAGUUUUAUUUUAAUUGGAAAUAUUGUAGAUUUGGGGUUCAGAUUAAAAAUAUUAGAACAACAAGAAUUUUUGUUGAUAGGUGAGCAUUCUUUUAAAAUUUUGAUCAAUAGGUUGUAUAUUUAUAUAAAAUUCUCAAAAAUUCUAUUUUUGGAAAGUUUUCAUUUUUGUGAAUAAUAGUGUGGAUUUGGGGUUUUGAUUUAGAAAUUAGGAUAACAAGAAUUGUUUGUUGAUAGAUGGAGUAUUCUUUUACAUUUUUUAUGAAUAGUUGUAUUUUUAAAUAUAAUUCUCAAAAGUUAUAUUUUAGAAAAAUUUUCUUUUUGGUGAAUAAUAGUGUGGAUUUGGGGUUUUGAUAUAGAAAUUAGGAUAACAAGAAUUGUUUGUUUACAGAUGGAGUAUUCUUUUAGAUUUUUUGAUCAAUAGUUGUAUUUUUUAAAUAUAAUUAUCAAAAGUUCUAUUUUAGGAAAGUUUUCAUUGUAUAUAGAAAUAUUGUAGAUUUGGGGUUGUGGUUUAGAAAUUAGGAUAAAAAUAUAUUUUUUUGAUGUAUGAGUAUUUUUUUAGAUUUUUUUUAUCAAUAGGUUGUAUAUUUUAGAUAAAAUUCUCAAAACUUCUAUUUUAGAAAUUUUCAUUUUUAUUGAGAAAUAUUGUAGAUUUAAGGUUGUGAUUUAGAAUUUAGGAUAACAAGAAUUUUGUUGAUAGAUGAGUAUUCUUUGAGGUUUUUUGAUCAAUAGUUGUAUAUUUUAGAUGAAAUUUUCAAAAUUCUAUUUUUGAAAGUUUUCAUUUUUUAUGAGAAUAUUGUAGAGUUAGAGUUGUGAUUUAGAAUUUAGGAUAACAAGAAAUUUUGUUGAUAGAUGAGUAUUCCUUGUGGAUUUUUGAUCAAUAAGUUGUAUUUUUUAAGAUAAAAUUCUCAAAAGUGUUAUUUAGGAAAGUUUUAUUUUUAUUGGGAAAUAUUGUAGAUUUGGGGUUCAGAUUAAAAUAUUAGAACAACAAGAAUUUUUGUUGAUAGGUGAGAAUUCUUUUAAAAGUUUGAUCAAUAGGUUGUAUUUUUAUAUAAUUCACAAAAAUUUAUUUUUGGAAAGUUUCAUUUUUGUGAAUAAUAGUGUGGAUUUGGGGUUUUGAUUUAGAAAUUACGAUAACAAAAAUUAUUUGUUGAUAGAUGGAGUAUUCUUUUACAUUUUUUGAUGAAUAGUUGUAUUUUUAAAUAUAAUUAUCAAAAGUUCUAUUUUAGGAAAGUUUUCAUUUUAGGUGAAUAAUAGUGUGUAUUUGGGGUUUUGAUUUAGAAAUUAGGAUAACAAGAAUUGUUUGUUAAUGAUGGAGUAUUAUUUUAGAUUUUUAUCAAUAAUUGUAAUUUUAAAAUAAUUAUCAAAAGUUCUAUUUUAGGAAAGUUUUCAUUGUCUAUAGAAAUAUUGUAGAUUUGGAGGGUUGUGAUUUAGAAAUUAGGAUAACAAUAUUUUUUGUUGAUAGAUGAGUAUUUGUUUAGAUUUUUUGAUCAAUGGGUUAUAUUUUAGAUAAAUUCUCAAAACUUCUAUUUUUAGAAAGUUUUCAUUUUAUUGAGAAAUAUUGUAGAGUUAGGGUUGUGAUUUAGAAUUUAGGAUAACAAGAAAUUUUGUUGAGAGAUGAGUAUUCUUUGAGGAUUUUUUAUCAAUAAGUUGUAUUUUUAAGAUAAAAUUCUCAAAAAAUCUAUUUUAGGAAGUUUUUAUUUUUAUUUGGAAAUAUUGUAGAUUUGGGGUUUCAGAUUAAAGUAUUUAGAACAACAAGAAUUUGUUGAUAGGUGAGCAUUUUUUAAAAAGUUUUGAUCAAUAGGUUGUAUAUUUUAUAUAAAAUUCUCAAAAUUCUAUUUUUGGAAAGUUUCAUUUUUGUGAAUAAUAGUGUGGAUUUGGGGUUUGAUUUAGAAAUUAGGAUAAAAAAAUUGUUGUUGAUAGAUGGAGUAUUCUUUUACAUUUUUUGAUGAAUAGUUGUAUUUUUAAAAUAUAAUUCUCAAAAGUUCUAUUUUAGGAAAGUUUCCAUUUUGAUGAAUAAUAGUGUGGAUUUGGGGUUUUGAUUUAGAAAUUAGGAUAACAAGAAUUGUUUGUUGAAAGAUGGAGUAUUCUUUUAGAUUUUUUGAUCAAUAGUUGUAUUUUUUAAAUAUAAUUCUCAAAAGUUCUAUUUUAGGAAAGUUUUCAUUGUCUAUAGAAAUAUUGUAGAUUUGGGUUGUGAUUUAGAAAUUAGGAUAACAAUAUUUUUUGUUGAUGUAUGAGUAUUUUUUUAGUUUUUUUGAUCAAUAGGUUGUAUAUUUUUAGAUAAAUUCUCAAAACUUCUAUUUUAGAAAGUUUUCAUUUUUAUUGAGAAUAUUGUAGAUUUAGGGUUGUGAUUUAGAAUUUAGGAUAACAAGAAAUUUUGUUGAUAGAUGAGUAUUCUUUGAGGAUUUUUGAUCAAUAAGUUGUAUUUUUAAGAUAAAUUCUCAAAAAUCUAUUUUAGGAAAGUUUUAUUUUUUAAUUGGAAAUAUUGUAGAUUUGGGGUUCAGAUUAAAAAUAUUAGAACAACAAGAAUUUUUUGUUAUAGGUGAGCAUUCUUUUAAAAGUUUUGAUCAAUAGGUUGUAUAUUUAAUAUAAAAUUCUCAAAAAUUCUAUUUUUGGAAAGUUUUCAUUUUUGUGAAUAAUAGUGUGGAUUUGGGGUUUUGAUUUAGAAAUUAGGAUAACAAGAAUUGUUUGUUGAUAGAUGGAGUAUUCUUUUACAUUUUUUGAUGAAUAGUUGUAUUUUUAAAUAUAAUUCUCAAAAGUUCUAUUUUAGAAAAUUUUCUUUUUGGAUAAUAGUGUGGAUUUGGUUUUGAUUUAGAAAUUAGGAUAACAAGAAUUGUUGUUUACAGAUGGAGUAUUCUUUUAGAUUUUUUGAUCAAUAGUUGUAUUUUUUAAAUAUAAUUAUCAUAAGUUCUAUUUUAGGAAAGUUUUCAUUGUAUAUAGAAAUAUUGUAGAUUUGGGUUGUGGUUUAGAAAUUAGGAUAAAAUAUUUUUUUUGAUGUAUGAGUAUUUUUUUAGAUUUUUUGAUCAAUAGUUGUAUAUUUUAAAUAAAAUUCUCAAAAUUCUAUUUUUUAAAGUUUUCAUUUUUAUUGAGAAAUAUUGUAGAUUUGGGUUGUGAUUUAGAAUUUAGGAUAACAAGAAAUUUGUUGAUAGAUGAGUAUUCUUUGAGGUUUUGAUCAAUAGGUUGUAUAUUUUAGAUAAAUUUUCAAAACUUCUAUUUUUUGAAAGUUUUCAUUUUUAUUGAGAAAUAUUGUAGAUUAGGGUUGUGAUUUAGAAUUUAGGAUAACAAGAAAUUUUGUUGAUAGAUGAGUAUUCUUUGGACUUUUGAUCAAUAAGUUGUAUUUUUAAGAUAAAAUUCUCAAAAGUUUAUUUAGGAAAGUUUUAUUUUUAUUGGGAAAUAUUGUAGAUUUGGGGUUCAGAUUAAAAUAUUAGAACAACAAGAAUUUUUGUUGAUAGGUGAGAUUCUUUUAAAUUUUUUGAUCAAUAGGUUGUAUAUUUAAUAUAAAAUUCUCAAAAAUUCUAUUUUAGGAAAGUUCAUUUUUGUGAAUAAUAGUGUGGAUUUGGGGUUUUGAUUUAGAAAUUACGAUAACAAAAAUUAUUUGUUGAUAGAUGGAGUAUUCUUUUAGAUUUUUUGAUGAAUAGUUGUAUUUUUUAAAUAUAAUUAUCAAAAGUUCUAUUUUAGGAAAGUUUUCAUUAGGUGAAUAAUAGUGUGUAUUUGGGUUUUGAUUUAGAAAUUAGGAUAACAAGAAUUGUUUGUUUAAUGAUGGAGUAUUUUUUAGAUUUUUGACAAAUAAUUGUAAUUUAAAAUAUAAUUAUCAAAAGUUCUAUUUUAGGAAAGUUUUCAUUGUCUAUAGAAAUAUUGUAGAUUUGGAUUGUGAUUUAGAAAUUAGGAUAACAAAUUUUUUUUGUUGAUAGAUGAGUAUUUGUUUAGAUUUUUGAUCAAUAGGUAUAUUUUAGAUAAAAUUCUCAAAACUUCUAUUUUUAGAAAGUUUUCAUUUUUAUGAAAUAUUGUAGAGUUGGGGUUGUGAUUUUAGAAUUUAGGAUAACAAGAAAUUUUGUUGAGAGAUGAGUAUUCUUUGAGGAUUUUGAUCAAUAAGUUGUAUUUUUUAAGAUAAAAUUCUCAAAAAUCUAUUUUAGGAAAGUUUAUUUUUAUUUGGAAAUAUUGUAGAUUUGGGUUCUGAUUUAAAAUAUUAGAAUAACAAGAAUUUUUGUUGAUAGGUGAUAUUUUUUUAAAGUUUGAUCAUAGGUUGUAUUUUUAUAUAAAAUUCUCAAAAAUUCUAUUUUUGGAAAGUUUCAUUUUUGUGAAUAAUAGUGUGGAUUUGGGGUUUUGAUUUAGAAAUUAGGAUAAAAGAAUUGUUUGUUGAUAGAUGGAGUAUUCUUUUACAUUUUUUGAUGAAUAGUUGUAUUUUUAAAUAUAAUUCUCAAAAUUCUAUUUUAGGAAAGUUUCCAUUUUGAUGAAUAAUAGUGUGGAUUUUGGGUUUUGAUUUAGAAUUAGGAUAACAAGAAUUGUUUGUUGAAAGAUGGAGUAUUCUUUUAGAUUUUUUGAUCAAUAGUUGUAUUUUUUAAAUAUAAUUCUCAAAAGUUCUAUUUUAGGAAAGUUUUCAUUGUCUAUAGAAAUAUUGUAGAUUUGGAGUUGUGAUUUAGAGAAUUAGGAUAACAAUAUUUUUGUUGAUGUAUGAGUAUUUCUUUAGAUUUUUUGAUCAAUAGGUUAUAUUUUAGAUAAAAUUCUCAAAACUUUAUUUUUAAAAGUUUUCAUUUUUAUUGAGAAUAUUGUAGAUUUGGGGUUGUGAUUUAGAAAUUAGGAUAACAAGAAAUUUUGUUGAUAGAUGAGUAUUCUUUGAGGAUUUUUGAUCAAUAGUUGUAUUUUUAAGAUAAAAUUCUCAAAAAUCUAUUUUAGGAAAGUUUUUAUUUUUAUUUGGAAAUAUUGUAGAUUUGGGGUUCAGAUUAAAAAUAUUAGAACAACAAGAAUUUUGUUGAUAGGUGAGCAUUUUUAUAAAGUUUUGAUAAUAGGUUGUAUAUUUUAUAUAAAAUUCUCAAAAAUUCUAUUUUGGAAAGUUUCAUUUUUGUGAAUAAUAGUGUGGAUUUGGGUUUUGAUUUAGAAAUUAGGAUAACAAGAAUUGUUUGUUGAUAGAUGGAGUAUUCUUUUACAUUUUUUGAUGAAUAGUUGUAUUUUUAAAAUAUAUUCUCAAAAGUUCUAUUUUAGGAAAGUUUCAUUUUGUUGAAUAAUAGUGUGGAUUUGGGGUUUUGAUUUAAAAUUAGGAUAACAAGAAUUGUUUGUUGAUAGAUGGAGUAUUCUUUUAGAUUUUUUGAUCAAUAGUUGUAUUUUUUAAAUAUAAUUAUCAAAAUUCUAUUUUAGGAAAGUUUUCAUUGUCUAUAGAAAUAUUGUAGAUUGGGGUUGUGAUUAGAGAAAUUAGGAUAACAAUAUUUUUGUUUGAUAUAUGAGUAUUUGUUUAGAUUUUUUGAUCAAUAGGUUGUUUAUUUUAGAUAAAAUUCUCAAAACUUCUAUUUUUAGAAAGUUUUCAUUUUUAUUGAGAAAUAUUGUAGAGUUAGGGUUGUGAUUUAGAAUUUAGGAUAACAAGAAAUUUUGUUGAUAGAUGAGUAUUCUUUGAGGAUUUUUUGAUCAAUAAGUUGUAUUUUUAAGAUAAAAUUCUCAAAAAAAUCUUUAGGAAAGUUUUAUUUUUUAUUGGAAAUAUUGUAGAUUUGGGGUUCAGAUUAAAAAUAUUAGAACAACAAGAAUUUUUGUUGAUAGGUGAGCAUUUUUUUAAAGUUUGAUCAAUAGGUUGUAUAUUUUAUAUAAAAUUCUCAAAAAUUCUAUUUUUGGAAAGUUUUCAUUUUUGUGAAUAAUAGUGUGGAUUUGGGGUUUUGAUUUAGAAAUUAGGAUAACAAGAAUUGUUUGUUGAUAGAUGGAGUAUUCUUUUACAUUUUUUGAUGAAUAGUUGUAUUUUUUAAAUAUAAUUCUCAAAAGUUCUAUUUUAGGAAAGUUUUCAUUUAGUGAAUAAUAGUGUGGAUUUGGGGUUUUGAUUUAGAAAUUAGGAUAACAAGAAUUGUUUGUUUAAUGAUGGAGUAUUCUUUUAGAUUUUUUGACAAUAGUUGUAUUUUUAAAAUAAUUAUCAAAAGUUCUAUUUUAGGAAAGUUUUCAUUGUCUAUAGAAAUAUUGUAGAUUUGGGGUUGUGAUUUAGAAAUUAGGAUAACAAUAUUUUUUGUUGAUAUAUGAGUAUUUGUUUAGAUUUUUUGAUCAAUAGGUUAUAUUUAGAUAAAAUUCUCAAAAUUCUAUUUUAGAAAGUUUUCAUUUUUAUUGAGAAAUAUUGUAGAGUUAGGGUUGUGAUUUAGAAUUUAGGAUAACAAGAAAUUUUGUUGAUAGAUGAGUAUUCUUUGAGGAUUUUUGAUCAAUAAGUUGUAUUUUUAAGAUAAAAUUCUCAAAAAUCUAUUUUAGGAAAGUUUUAUUUUUAUUUGGAAUAUUGUAGAUUUGGGGUUCAGAUUAAAAAUAUUAGAACAACAAGAAUUUUUGUUGAUAGGUGAGCAUUUUUAAAAGUUUUGAUCACUAGGUUGUAUAUUUUAUAUAAAAUUCUCAAAAAUUCUAUUUUUGGAAAGUUUCAUUUUUGUGAAUAAUAGUGUGGAUUUGGGGUUUUGAUUUAGAAAUUAGGAUAAAAGAAUUUUUUGUUGAUAGAUGGAGUAUUCUUUUACAUUUUUUGAUGAAUAGUUGUAUUUUUAAAAUAUAAUUCUCAAAAGUUCUAUUUUAGGAAAGUUUCCAUUUUGAUGAAUAAUAGUGUGGAUUUGGGGUUUUGAUUUAGAAAUUAGGAUAACAAGAAUUGUUUGUUGAAAGAUGGAGUAUUCUUUUAGAUUUUUUGAUCAAUAGUUGUAUUUUUUAAAUAUAAUUCUCAAAAGUUCUAUUUUAGAAAAGUUUUCAUUGUCUAUAGAAAUAUUGUAGAUUUGGGGUUGUGAUUUAGAAAUUAGGAUAACAAUAUUUUUUGUUGAUGUAUGAGUAUUUUUUUUAGAUUUUUUGAUCAAUAGGUUGUAUAUUUUAGAUAAAAUUCUCAAAACUUCUAUUUUUAGAAAGUUUUCAUUUUUAUUGAGAAAUAUUGUAGAUUUAGGGUUGUAAUUUAGAAUUUAGGAUAACAAGAAAUUUUGUUGAG